CCCUACGGGGGGCAGCAGUGGGGAAUAUUGCACAAUGGGGGGAACCCUGAUGCAGCGACGCCGCGUGAGUGAAGAAGUAUUUCGGUAUGUAAAGCUCUAUCAGCAGGGAAGAUAAUGACGGUAGCAGAGGAGGAAGCUCCGGCUAACUACGUGCCAGCAGCCGCGGUAAUACGUAGGGAGCAAGCGUUGUCCGGAUUUACUGGGUGUAAAGGGUGCGUAGGCGGCCCUGCAAGUCAGAAGUGAAAUCCAUGGGCUUAACCCGUGAACUGCUUUUGAAACUGUAGGGCUUGAGUGAAGUAGAGGCA
rnacentral:rRNA from 1 species